rnacentral:rRNA from 1 species
UGCAUGUCUAAGUAUAAACGAUUUAAUCGUGAAACCGCGAAUGGCUCAUUAUAACAGCUAUAAUUUACUUGAUCUUGACACAAUCCUACUUGGAUAACUGUGGUAAUUCUAGAGCUAAUACAUGCAUUAAAGCUCUGACCUCACGGGAAGAGUGCAUUUAUUAGAUCACAACCUAUCGGCUUCGGCUGUUUCUGGUUGACUCAUAGUAACUGAGCUGAUCGCAUGGUCUUGCACCGGCGACGUGUCUUUCAAGUAUCUGCCGUAUCAACUUUCGAUGGUAGUGUAUCUGACUACCAUGGUGAUCACGCGUAACGGAGAAUAAGGGUUCGGCUCCGGAGAGUUCGCCUGAGAAAUCGCGAACACAUCUAAGGAAGGCAGCAGGCGCGAAAAUUACCCACUCUCAGCACGAGGAGGUAGUGACGAAAAAUAACGAGACCGUUCUCUUAUGAGGCCGGUCAUCGGAA